rnacentral:rRNA from 1 species
GUGCUGAACGCCCAUCUGAGGAGGAUUUAGCAGUAAGCAGGAAGUAGAGCGUCCCGCUGAAACUGGCCCUGAAGCGCGUACACACCGCCCGUCACUCUCCCCAAAAACAUCUUUACACUAUUACAUUAAACCCUUAUAACCGAAAGGGGAGGCAAGUCGUAACAUGGUAAGUGUACUGGAAGGUGCACUUGGAAGAAUC